AAAAAAACAAACCCUAGAUUUACGUGUCCAACGUUUGACUGUCCGUCUUAUAUGAAAUUUUUUGAUAAUUAGUAUUUUUAUUGUUGUUAGAUAAUAAAACAUGAUUAAUACUUUAUGCGUGACUUAUCCUUUUAAUUUUUUUCAUAAUUUUUUCAAAUAAGACGGACGGUCAAACGUUGGACAAGAAAACCCAGGGUUUGUCUUUUC
rfam:Oryza glaberrima chromosome 9 Oglab09_0182_5, whole genome shotgun sequence.